UGCCCUAAGAAGCAGUAUGCACAGG
rnacentral:misc_RNA from 1 species